rnacentral:rRNA from 1 species
GAAGAAACGUUUUCUGCAUCCAGGAUUAGCCUAAAUCCUUUGGGAUAAGGUAUCAUGGAGGGUGAGAAUCCCGUUCAUGGUUAAUCUUAAGGAAGCUCUACGAUACGUUUUCCAAGAGUCGAGUUGUUUGGGACUGCAGCUCAAAAUGGGAGGUAAAUUUCUCCUAAGGCUAAAUAUUGGCGAGAGACCGAUAGCGAACAAGUACCGUGAGGGAAAGAUGA